ACUUAAAUAGCUUAUAUUUAGAGCUUGGCACUGAAGAUGCCGUUGAGGUUAUUAUUUUACCUUUAAGUA
rnacentral:tRNA from 1 species